CUACGGGAGGCAGCAGUGGGGAAUAUUGGACAAUGGGGGGAACCCUGAUCCAGCCAUGCCGCGUGUGUGAAGAAGGCCUUAUGGUUGUAAAGCACUUUAAGCGAGGAGGAGGCUCUUUUGGUUAAUACCCAAGAUGAGUGGACGUUACUCGCAGAAUAAGCACCGGCUAACUCUGUGCCAGCAGCCGCGGUAAUACAGAGGGUGCAAGCGUUAAUCGGAUUUACUGGGCGUAAAGCGCGCGUAGGCGGCCAAUUAAGUCAAAUGUGAAAUCCCCGAGCUUAACUUGGGAAUUGCAUUCGAUACUGGUUGGCUAGAGUGUGGGAGAGGAUGGUAGAAUUCCAGGUGUAGCGGUGAAAUGCGUAGAGAUCUGGAGGAAUACCGAUGGCGAAGGCAGCCAUCUGGCCUAACACUGACGCUGAGGUGCGAAAGCAUGGGGAGCAAACAGGAUUAGAUACCCUGGUAGUCCAUGCCGUAAACGAUGUCUACUAGCCGUUGGGGCCUUUGAGGCUUUAGUGGCGCAGCUAACGCGAUAAGUAGACCGC
rnacentral:rRNA from 1 species